UCGGGAAUUUUGGGCAAUGGGCGAAAGCCUGACCCAGCAACGCCGCGUGAAGGAUGAAAUCCCUCGGGAUGUAAACUUCGCAAGAACAGGAAGAAUAAGUUUGUGCUAACACCACAAGCGAUGACGGUACUGUUUGUAAGCUCCGGCUAACUCCGUGCCGGCAGCCGCGGUAAUACGGGGGGAGCAAGCGUUGUUCGGAUUUACUGGGCGUAAAGGGCGCGUAGGCGGCCGCCGCAAGUCAGUUGUGAAAUCUCCGAGCUUAACUCGGAAAGGUCAACUGAUACUGCGGGGCUAGAGUGCGGAAGGGGCAACUGGAAUUCUUGGUGUAGCGGUGAAAUGCGUAGAUAUCAAGAGGAACACCUGCGGCGAAGGCGGGUUGCUGGGCCGACACUGACGCUGAGGCGCGAAAGCUAGGGGAGCGAACGGG
rnacentral:rRNA from 1 species